rnacentral:lncRNA from 1 species
CCGGAGCCGGCCCUUCCCGCAGGCUCUCGUCCCGGCUUAUCCGGGUCAUCGGUGGCCCGGGGCCCGCCGGCGCGGAGCGUCCCUGGAAAGCUCCGAGGCACGUGGCGAAGGAGUGUUGUGAAGCGCUUAGGUGCUGGGUGCGGAGGUGGGAGAAAGGGCCGACGACGCUCCACACCCCGCUGCAGGCUCGGCCGCUCCCAGCCGGCGGGGAAAUCCCCGUCUAGUUGCAGGUCCUUCUAGUUGUGGGAUGUGGGAUGCUGCCUCAACGUGGCCUGAUGAGCGGUGCCAUGUCCGCGCCCAGGAUCCGAACCCCGGACCGCAGCAGCGGAGCGCGCAAACGUAACCACUCGGCCACGGAGCUGGCCCCAGAGAAUGUUUUAUCUUAUAGUUGGAAAAAAUGGCUGGUGCUCCGGGGUGCGAUCCUCUCGUGAGGCUGAGCUGCAGCAGCCGCAGCUCCCGGUCAGCCAUCCAGUCACGAGAGCACACGACAGAACCGCAUCUCAAUGUGUCUGUUAUCAAAGGUAAAUUGUGGUGUAUGUACUUGUUGGACUAUUAUAGGACCACUUAUUUAUUUAAAAAGUUUAAACUACAAAGAGUAUGUUCAUAAUAUGGCCUCAGUUAAAACAGUAAGG